rnacentral:rRNA from 1 species
CUAUACAUGCAGUCGAGCGAACAGAUAAGGAGCUUGCUCCUUUGAAGUUAGCGGCGGACGGGUGAGUAACACGUGGGUAACCUACCUAUAAGACUGGGAUAACUUCGGGAAACCGGAGCUAAUACCGGAUAACAUUUAGAACCGCAUGGUUCUAAAGUGAAAGAUGGUUUUGCUAUCACUUAUAGAUGGACCCGCGCCGUAUUAGCUAGUUGGUAAGGUAACGGCUUACCAAGGCGACGAUACGUAGCCGACCUGAGAGGGUGAUCGGCCACACUGGAACUGAGACACGGUCCAGACUCCUACGGGAGGCAGCAGUAGGGAAUCUUCCGCAAUGGGCGAAAGCCUGACGGAGCAACGCCGCGUGAGUGAUGAAGGGUUUCGGCUCGUAAAACUCUGUUAUUAGGGAAGAACAAAUGUGUAAGUAACUGUGCACAUCUUGACGGUACCUAAUCAGAAAGCCACGGCUAACUACGUGCCAGCAGCCGCGGUAAUACGUAGGUGGCAAGCGUUAUCCGGAAUUAUUGGGCGUAAAGCGCGCGUAGGCGGUUUCUUAAGUCUGAUGUGAAAGCCCACGGCUCAACCGUGGAGGGUCAUUGGAAACUGGGAAACUUGAGUGCAGAAGAGGAAAGUGGAAUUCCAUGUGUAGCGGUGAAAUGCGCAGAGAUAUGGAGGAACACCAGUGGCGAAGGCGACUUUCUGGUCUGUAACUGACGCUGAUGUGCGAAAGCGUGGGGAUCAAACAGGAUUAGAUACCCUGGUAGUCCACGCCGUAAACGAUGAGUGCUAAGUGUUAGGGGGUUUCCGCCCUUAGUGCUGCAGCUAACGCAUUAAGCACUCCGCCUGGGGGAGUACGACCGCAAGGUUGAAACUCAAAGGAAUUGA